AUUGAACGCUGGCGGCAGGCCUAACACAUGCAAGUCGAGCGGGGUUUUCGGACCUAGCGGCGGACGGGUGAGUAAUGCGUAGGAAGCUGCCCGAUAGAGGGGGAUACCAGUUGGAAACGACUGUUAAUACCGCAUAAUGUCUACGGACCAAAGUGUGGGACCUUCGGGCCACAUGCUAUCGGAUGCGCCUACGUGGGAUUAGCUAGUUGGUGAGGUAAUGGCUCACCAAGGCGACGAUCUCUAGCUGGUUUGUGAGGAUGAUCAGCCACACGGGAACGGAGACAGGGUCCAGACUGCUAGGGGAGGAAGCAGUGGGGAAGAUUGGACAAUGGGCGGAAGCCUGAUCCAGCCAGGCCGCGUGUGAGGAGAAGGCCUUCGGGUUGUAAAGCACUUUCAGCGAGGAGGAAGGGGUGUGUGUUAAUAGUACACACCUUUGACGUUACUCGCAGAAGAAGCACCGGCUAACUCUGUGCCAGCCGCCGCAGUAACAC
rnacentral:rRNA from 1 species